ensembl:snRNA U6 U6 spliceosomal RNA
GUGCUCGCCUUGGCAGCACACAUACUAAAGUUGGAAAUGAUUAGCAUGGCUCUUGCUCAAGGAUGACAUGCAAAUUUGUGAAGCAUUCCAUAAUUUG